CGCCAUUGAGAAAUUGUUCGCGAAGUUCGCGGGAAAAGACAUGUUACGAUUUAUUAAUGAAACGAGAGAGCAAUGUGUGUCCAAUGAUGGAGGUUGCAAUGCUACUGCAGUGGAUCUCUUUCACUGAUACAUGCAAACCUUGUGUAUAUAGAGGUUGCUGUCGGCGAUUGUCCAGGUGUAUGAAGGUGAAACAUUGUGAUCCCUAUCCCUAGUGACAUCUUCGAAGGACCCCAAGUGAUGCUUUUCUUGAAGUUUGAGGUAUGUGUGGCAUCCAAUUUCAGUUCUUACUUUUACUACAAAAACAAAAAGCUGACGCUUAUCACCACGCCGCAUGUUUGACCCAGGGGUGCCCCAGGGUUGGUAAUGGGGCCAUGCAAAGUUGAGAAUGACCGUAAUGUCAUAAGAGAUUUCCAGUAUAAAUUUGAAGUAAUUCGGUGUAGAAAUGAAGAAGUUAAUGUAAAAUAACCUAAAAAAUGAGUGAAAAUCUAUACCCUAAUUUCUCCUCAUCCUGCUCUCCUAACAAAUCUAAUACUGAAUCAACUUCACUG